CCUACGGGCGGCAGCAGUGGGGGAUAUUGCACAAUGGGGGGAACCCUGAUGCAGCGACGCCGCGUGGGUGAAGAAGCGCCUCGGCGCGUAAAGCCCUGUCAGCAGGGAAGAAAAUGACGGUACCUGAAGAAGAAGCCCCGGCUAACUACGUGCCAGCAGCCGCGGUAAUACGUAGGGGGCAAGCGUUAUCCGGAUUUACUGGGUGUAAAGGGGGCGCAGACGGCGAUGCAAGCCAGGAGUGAAAGCCCGGGGCCCAACCCCGGGACUGCUCUUGGAACUGCGUGGCUGGAGUGCAGGAGGGGCAGGCGGAAUUCCCGGUGUAGCGGUGAAAUGCGUAGAGAUCGGGAGGAACACCAGUGGCGAAGGCGGCCUACUGGGCUUUAACUGACGCUGAGGCACGAAAGCGUGGGUAGCAAACAGGAUUAGAUACCCGAGUAGUC
rnacentral:rRNA from 1 species